GGACCCGUGCGGAAACUGGAUAUCCGACGAGGCUUCGGACCUCGGGUUAAGGGUUCGAAUCCCUUCGGGUCCA
rnacentral:tRNA from 1 species